rnacentral:lncRNA from 1 species
AAGUUUCCUCUGCGUGUUAGAUGAAUAAAUGUUCAGAGCACAAGCAAUUAUUAUUCCAAAGGAGCACUAAGUUUGUUCCAUCUGCUUUGAUACCCUGACCUUCCAAUGAGAUUUGCACAGUCACCGCAGUUAAUACCACUGGUGGAGUAUAGAUAGCUGCUUUUCCGGAGUAUUUGCUGCUUCCCAUUUUAUACGAGCAUUGCUCUUCUUUGGAUAGCACAGUUGCUGUAAGUCCAGCUUUUGUUCCCACUGGAAGGCAGUUUUUAUGUCAGCAGGAUGCAGGGGUUAGCUUGGCUGAGCAGGAACAGCCCACAGCAGGCUGAGCUCUGCCAGGAGAAAAUCAACAUGCAAACCACCUGAGCCAAACAACGAUGACCCAGGCUUUAGAAUGGAGCAUGUCACCUUGGCUAGUUAUUUAAUGAUUCAGGCAUUCACACUGUCUGCUUCCCUACAAGCAGAAGGGUCAGAGUAUGUCACAGUGUAUCAGCUAAGCUUGGGAAUGCUGCUCUGGGAAGACAGCCCCUCUGAGCGCAGCAUCUCAACCUGUACCAGCCUUCAAGAGGGGACAGCACUCCCCAGCCUGCUUUAUGCCAUCCCAAGUUAGUCUACUUGCAUAAAAGCUGGAUGUCUGUAUACCCAUUAGUCUCAAACCCCGCGUACUGAGGUACACCUGACAAACACGUGAGGCUGUGCACAUUACCCAGGAGGUGUGAUGUUAAACAGAUAAGUAUUAGGAAUGGAUCCAGCCAGGAUGUUGAUGUGAGAGGAUGAUACGCUUCCCUCCCACACUGCUUAUCACAUGAGAAUGACAAUAUAAACACUUGCUCUUUAAGCAGCGGAAACAAGGACAGCUCUUAGAGGAGACUCCUUGUUCUCCACUGCACUGCUCUGCACUGAGAGGCUUCAGAGAUGCUAGCAGCUGGCGCUAUGAGCUGCUUUGGUUGAAGUAUAAAUGUUUGUCUCCAAAAGCAAGCACAGUGUAUUUGGAUGCUCUGCUUCCAAAAGUGCAACAGCAUCUGGAGACCCAGGUGGGACCCCACAGGUGACGGUCCUCUCGGCACCAAGUGUCCAGUUGCCAGCAGCAGGUGAGUUCACUUUGGGGGACUUUGGUGAUGGGAGGUGCCAAGCAGCAAGCCUUCAAUUUCCGCUACUAAAUGCAGGCUUGGAAGCACGCUACGUGUGGGAAAUAUACUUGGUGCAGGAAAGGGGAUGUCCUUAGCCAAGGUGCUGGAAAGCUGAAGGAAAACAGAUGAAACUGCAGAUCUAUCAACAAAAACGAGAUGAACUUGGUGCUCCCUUUCCGGAUGAUCGUUUGGAUCCGGAUUUUGUGCCUGUGCCUCUGGGACAACCCAGAGGCCCUGCUGGUGAAUCAGCAGAACAGAAUCCUGCCUCUGAGCCUGAAGGGGAUGCUGGAGAUGUGACUGGAGGAGGUGAUCCAGGUUCCGCUCUGAGCUCUGGGACUGAAACUCCGGCAGAUCGCAUGGGAGUGCCCCCAGGGAGGGCUUUGCCCGGUCAUGUGUUUCCUCCUGCGCUGGAGCCCAGCUGGAAUCCCAGCGGUCCGGAAAAAGGAAAGGAUGAACCCAAAAGAGGAGAAUACUCCCAGGGCUCAUCCCGUCUCCUCAAGGAACUGGUGAAGGAAAUGGAGAAGGCAGCGCGUGGAACUGACCAACAAAGUGAGCAGGAUGCACUGCAGGAAGGCAGCCAUCCCACACUGCCAGUCUUGGGCAAAGGAACGCAGGCAGCGCCAGCAACUGUCAUGCCAGGGAUGAAUGCCGGGACGAGCACAAAGGCUGCUGUUGGCAGAUCUGCGCGAAGGCGCCACAUUGCAGCGAUGGUACUGUUCUCAGCUGUGCUGCUGUCUGCGCUGGUGCUGGCCUGUGGUGCUGUGAUAUGGAUGUGCCAAAAAUACGUAGUGUGCAAGAGAGAAGAGAGAGCAGCAGAGCAGGCUCAUCCUGAUACCAACUAGGAGAGAGUUCCAACUGGAGACGAGGGCAGAACGGAGCUGGGAGAGGCAGCCGAAGAGACUCUUGCCCCAUCAAAGAAGAAUCUCAGCCAUCGUCCCAGUGCAUUCCAUUCUGCCAUCCAAGAGGCCAAAGGUCUUCAAAGUCAUCUGGAAGACUUGGAGCUUGAACUCAAAGCCGUGAAAGAGGUCCACGGGAACAGUCCUGAGUGCUGCUUUCUGUCAGGGGACGGCCCUGAAAGUGAGAGCGGAGAACCAGCAGCAGAGCUUUUGUCCUUCACCCUGCAUUCUCUGGGACAAGCAUCAGCAACAUUUCAAAGAUUCUUAGCUCGGCACAGCUACAAUCCUGUUGAGGGUCCUAAUGAGGAGCCAGAAAGCGAGCUUCCUCUGACCGCUGGACAACACCUUAACGUCUUUGGAGCUGUGGAUGAGAAUGUCUGGUUUCAGGGAGAGCUGACAGAUGGCACAAGAGGACUGGUCCCAUCCAGUUUGGUUGCGGAGGUUUCAGAUGAUGAACUGGAUACAACGAUGCCUCCGGAGCUCUGUGCUCUCCUGCUGGAUACUUGAUGAAUAAGUGGAUGCAGAGAUUCCAUCAUGCAGCAACAUCCUGUCAAAAUUCCUGCGUUACUCCAUCUGCAGGACUACCCCCCGCUCCACUUGAUGUUCAGGUGGAGUGUGUGCAGGACGUGGAUGAGCUUCUUUGGGAACACUCUGAGGUGACUGACAGUGUAACUGCAUAGUCUUGUGGUAUAUUAAACAAACAAACAAACAAACACCACCCACAAUAAAACAACCAACCAACCAAC